rnacentral:rRNA from 1 species
UACAGAGGGGGCAAGCGUUGUCCGGAAUUACUGGGCGUACAGCGCGCGCAGGCGGUCUUGGACGUGCCGUGUGACAGCCGUCGGCUCAACCGACGGAGGCCAGGGUACACGACAAGACUGGAGACAGAGAGAGGGAUGUGGAAUACCCGGUGGAGCGGUGAAAUGCGUAGAGAUCGGGUGGAACACCAGGGGCGAAGGCGGCAUCCUGGCUCUGUUCUGACGCUGAGGCGCGAGAGCGUGGGGAGCAAACCGG